UAGGCUUUUACUGACUGGAUAUUGUCAAUAACUUCGGAAGUGAUCACAAGCCUUUCAUUGAUCUUGCCUGCUCUUCUGUCUCUAUAAAGUAUUUUGAGUGGGAUCUUCAAUCAAGAUGGCAGCGGAUGGCUCUUUGCGCUCAAAUGGAUGAGGUGCUGCAGUUUAGAAGCAUACAGCAGGCCACCCAUUUAAAAGUAGCAAGAUGCCCAUAUCCAAACACUGUGGAGAAAGAGACCUAUAGUCAUGUAUCCUGACCUGACACUCAUGGAGCCAGUCACCAGUGCAAGAAUAACAAGGAAGCCCAAACCACAGAAGGCAGAAGCCUGCAGUAACUCCCAAAUGAGACCCAUCAAAAGAAUCACUUGAAGUGGAGCAAUCCAUACAUAAUGAGCCAAGGCCAAGCCCUAUCAAAUG